rnacentral:rRNA from 1 species
GAUGAACGCUAGCGGCGUGCUUAACGCAUGCAAGUCGAACGGGAUCCUUGAAUUCGUUCAGGGUGAGAGUGGCGAACGGGUGAGUAACACGUUGGUGACCUGCCUCAAAGAGGGGGACAACCACUGGAAACGGUGGCUAAUACCCCAGAUGUCGUCCUCGUUAGAGAGGGAUGACUAAAGCUCAGGCGCUUUGAGAGGGGCCAGCGUCCCAUCAGCUAGCUGGUAAGGUAACGGCUUACCAGGGCGAAGACGGGUAGGGGACGUGAGAGCGUGAACCCCCACACUGGUACUGACACACGGACCAGAUACCUACGGGUAGCAGCAGCGAGGAAUCUUGCGCAAUGGGCGAAAGCCUGACGCAGCAACGCCGCGUGGAGGAUGAAGGCCUUCGGGUUGUAAACUCCUUUUCUGGGGAAAUAGAAAGGAAGGUACCUCAGGAAUAAGCUCCGGCUAACUACG